rnacentral:lncRNA from 1 species
GGGACCUUGCCAACAGCCAAGGCCUCCUCUUCCUGCCUGGUGACUGUUGUGGUGUUCCAGCUCCCCCACACCCAGCCUCAACGGAUAGAGGACAUGUGGGGGUGUGCACUUUGCAAAUAGGCAAAGAUGCACACGCACUCACCCCCACCCGUAGAUCACCACACAUUCACAAAACGUGUACACAUGCCACGCAGCUCACAUGUGCACACACCCACAUACACACAUACCACACAAGGCACACAGUACACACUGAACACACACACAUGACAGUCACACUCACAUAUCCCACAUGCAUAUUUAUGUUUUUUGGAACCCUUGUCAAAUCAGUUGCAGAAUGCUGAUACCCCACCUCCAAGUCCUUCCUUCCUUUCCUCAUGUGCACCUCUCCAUCAGCACCCCCACCCUUGCGUACUGGCCUCUGGAGAUUAAGUAUCAAGGAGACAAAUCUCCUCAUCAUCCAGACACCUCUUAACUGGCAAAGAAAUUGAGGACCUUGGUCCCCUAAUAACAGAAAGCAAGGCUCAAGUCCUUGCUAGGCCACUGCCCAGCUGUGUCUACGUGACCACUCAGCUUCCUGUUCCCCUUCUCCAAAGUAUGGAAUUCAAUGACUGAAGUGUGGCCUGUCCUUCACUAUCCACUGCUUCCCCAAGAUCAGAGCCCUUCCUUCAGUCACCAAACUGCAAGUGGCCCCACUGUGGACAUGGAGGUGGAAAGACCCAGACCUGCUCAGGAAACAGGGGCCCGUGUAGAGAGGAGUGGAGGCAGGGAAGCCAGGAGAGCCUGGGGCCAAGACCCAGGUGCCCAAAGGAAGGAGGUACACAAGCUGCUGAGAGGCUACAUCCUGAAGUAGGAAGAAGCACCCCAGCUGGGCCCAGGGGCUAUGCAAUUGCAGGUAGCCAAUCCCAUGUGGCAGUGGAAGGGAUGAACAAGUUGUGUGUAUAGCCAUGAUGAAUGGAUGUCACAGGGACUGGUGAGGAGCAGAAUGAGAACUCCUGUCAUUCAAAUACUUGGGAGAGGUGCCUAUGGGGAAAGGAGCAAUGGAUCAGAGGAGGGGAUUAAGUGGGCACAAACAAAUAAAAAC